GUAUUAAUUGCGUGUGAUCGCAAAAGAAAAACAUUCUACACUGUAUCGAGUUUGUGUGAAAACGUGAGCCCCCGAAAGGGGACCCACGCGGUGGUGCACAUAGGGGUGAGAUGGAUGUGUGAGAGUGCUCGGGCGUGCACGACCUUUAAAAAGGUCAGCGACAGCCCGGGCACCUCCGUUGUAUGAUAAUGAUCCUUCCGCAGGUUCACCUACGGAAA
rnacentral:misc_RNA from 1 species